AUUGAACGCUGGCGGCAGGCCUAACACAUGCAAGUCGAGCGGAUGAAGGGAGCUUGCUCCUGGAUUCAGCGGCGGACGGGUGAGUAAUGCCUAGGAAUCUGCCUGGUAGUGGGGGAUAACGUCCGGAAACGGGCGCUAAUACCGCAUACGUCCUGAGGGAGAAAGUGGGGGAUCUUCGGACCUCACGCUAUCAGAUGAGCCUAGGUCGGAUUAGCUAGUUGGUGGGGUAAAGGCCUACCAAGGCGACGAUCCGUAACUGGUCUGAGAGGAUGAUCAGUCACACUGGAACUGAGACACGGUCCAGACUCCUACGGGAGGCAGCAGUGGGGAAUAUUGGUCAAUGGGCGAAAGCCUGAUCCAGCCAUGCCGCGUGUGUGAAGAAGGUCUUCGGAUUGUAAAGCACUUUAAGUUGGGAGGAAGGGCAGUAAGUUAAUACCUUGCUGUUUUGACGUUACCAACAGAAUAAGCACCGGCUAACUUCGUC
rnacentral:rRNA from 1 species